rnacentral:rRNA from 1 species
UACGUAGGGGGCAAGCGUUGUCCGGAAUUAUUGGGCGUAAAGAGCGCGUAGGCGGUCCGGUAAGUCGGUUGUGAAAGUCGGGGGCUCAACCCUCGGAUGCCGAUCGAUACUGUCGGGCUAGAGUCCGGAAGAGGCGAGUGGAAUUCCUGGUGUAGCGGUGAAAUGCGCAGAUAUCAGGAGGAACACCUAUAGCGAAGGCAGCUUGCUGGGACGUUACUGACGCUAAGGCGCGAAAGCGUGGGGAGCGAACAGG